rfam:Myotis lucifugus cont2.15670, whole genome shotgun sequence.
GGUGGUUCUCUGGUGAUGCACCCUGGAAUUGGGCUUCCUCCUCUCUGGUUCCAGGUGCGUCACCCGAGAACCACA